rnacentral:rRNA from 1 species
AGCGAAUAGAUACCCUGGUAGUCCCAGCUGUAAACGAUGCAGACUCGGUGAUGAAAUUGGCUUAUUGCUAAAUUCAGUGCCGCAGGGAAGCCGUUAAGUUUGCCGCCUGGGGAGUACGGUCGCAAGACUGAAACUUAAAGGAAUUGGCGGGGAGCACCACAGGGGGUGAAAGCCUGCGGUUCAAUUGGAGUCAACGCCGGAAAUCUUACCGGGGGCGACAGCAGAGUGAAGGUCAAGCUGAAGACUUUACCAGACAAGCUGAGAGGAGGUGCAUGGCCGUCGCCAGCUCGUGCCGUGAGGUGUCCUGUUAAGUCAGGUAACGAGCGAGAUCCCUGCCUCUAGUUGCUACCAUUAUUCUCAGGAGUAGUGGAGCUAAUUAGAGGGACCGCCGUCGCUGAGACGGAGGAAGGUGGGGGCUACGGCAGGUCAGUAUGCCCCGAAACCCUCGGGCCACACGCGGGCUGCAAUGGUAAGGACAAUGAGUUUCGAUUCCGAAAGGAGGAGGCAAUCUCUAAACCUUACCACAGUUAUGAUUGA